GACAGAGGUGGCGAGCGUUGUUCGGAAUCAUUGGGCUUAAAGCGUGUGCAGGCGGCGGCGUAAGUGUCGAGUGAAAGCCCGCAGCUCAACUGCGGAACGGCUCGGCAUACUGCGUCGCUUGAGGUCGGUAGAGGUGCCUGGAACUCUAGGUGGAGCGGUGAAAUGCGUAGAUAUCUAGAGGAACGCCUGAGGCGAAAGCGGGGCACUGGGCCGAUUCUGACGCUGAUACACGAAAGCGUGGGGAGCAAACAGG
rnacentral:rRNA from 1 species